rnacentral:snRNA from 1 species
GUGCUUGCUUCAGCAGCACAUAUACUAAAAUUGGAACGAUAGGCAAAAGAUUAGCAUGGCCCCUGUGCAAGGAUGACACACAAAUUUGUGAAGUGGUCCAUAUUUUU